rnacentral:ncRNA from 1 species
AGAAAACUUGGUCCUAAUUUCCUUUACUUUUUUAUUUAUAAUGAUACAUGCAAAGAAAAAUCUUAUCCAGUGGAAAAUAUUUUUAACCAACUAAAAACAAAAAUAAGAAUAAAUAAAGAAAAUCUUGUUCUUUAAUUACAAAAACCACAACAGCAGUACUAAACAUUAAGCAAUUAGUGAAAACUAGACCUAAUAAUUAAAAAUAAAUAUUGGUAAAAAUACGUGCCAGCCACCGCGGUUAUACGUAAAAUAUAAAAAGUAAAAUUUACAUAAAGUGAAAAAAAACAAAAAAGUGUUUUAAAAAUAAAAUUAAUAGUCAAAUAUAAACAAAAAAAAAAAAUCAAUAACACGAAAGUUAAACACAAAAAAAAAAUUCACGAAAAUUUAAAAACAAACAAGGAUUAGAGACCCUUUUAUGUUAAACCAUAAACAAAAAAAGUACUACGAGCUACAAGCUUAAAACUUAAAGGACUUGGCGGUUUUUUAGACCUUCCUAGAGGAGCCUGUUUCAUAAUCGACAAUCCACGAAAAACCUUACCUUUUUUAGAAAUCAGCUUGUAUAUCAUCAUCGUCAGCUUACCUUAUAAAGAGAAGUAAGCUAAAAGGAAGACUCCAAAACGUUAGAUCAAGAUGCAGCCAAUAAAAAGAGAAAAAAAUGGGCUACAAUACUCAUAACGAAUGCGAAACUUUAUAUUAAAAAAUAAAAAGAAGAAGGAUUUAGUAGUAAGAAAUAAUAAAUAAAAAAAACCUGAAAAAGCUCUAAAAUACGUACACACCGCCCGUCACUCUCUUCUAAAAAAGAGAAAAGUCGUAACAAGGUAAGAGUAGGGGAACCUGCUCUUGGAGUUCU